CUGUAUCAAUCCUGUGUCUUUGCUAUCAGCCCUUUUCCACACACAUUGUUUCCAAGGUGACGUCACAAGUUCUACAUUUCCUGUUUUCCCAGGCCUCCCAGGAUCUCCUUUCGCCCCAGCAGGACCAGUUGCCCCAGGCAGGCCAUCUCUUCCGGGAUUUCCUGGAACACCUGGGAUACCUGGGAUACCUGCUGAAGCACAGGUUGCCUGAGAAGGCU